rnacentral:misc_RNA from 1 species
UUAACUAUUAUACAGUACUCAGACGACACUAAAUUCAAGGUUUGAUUUCCUCUGGCGGGCGCUUGCCAGCCGAAGCCGGUAGCCAGACCGAGGCCUGACGGCCCGCCAAAGCAACAAUGGUAACGAUAACAUAGGGUGGAGAUCUACCCGUAAGGGCAUGAACUCUGUAAUGAUCCCUCCGCAGGUUCACCUACGGAGA